rnacentral:rRNA from 1 species
CUGGACAAUCCUGCUGCUUUGGAGCUCCUAAGUUAAACAAGGUCAGACCUGGUUAGUUCUCGGAUGGAGUGACCUCCAAGGAAAACACAGGUGUUAACCUGC